CUGAGCUUUAUAUCGUAUUUCUGGCCUCUCUAAGAAUUUCAACACCAGACUGUGGCUGUAGAUACUUUCCUUUCCCCCGGUGCUGUUGUCAUCUAUUGGCGGCUCGUUGUGUGAGUAACUUUGGGUAAUAACAAGCCCGACUUCUGCGGUUGUACACCAUAUUUGGCCGAAGAGGAAGCCGCGGCUGUAAACACUGACCCACGUUAUCUGCGGCACCUGAAACGGAAGGGUGCAGGAGCACCAGAGGAUGGUGGCCGAAAGGGACAAAGACAUAAGAAAGCUGGGGUCCAAGUCAGACAAAAGUAAAAGUGAGCCGAAGGUGCUGCGGCUUUAGGUGGGCAGAGUGCGGCAGGAUGAACUUUCCUGCUCUGUCAGCAGCGCUGAAAACAGCCGAACAACCACUGAGUCAAGUCUGGUGGUGCAGCUGCUCCUGCACAAAUUUCCCCCAAAUGCCAUGACACAGUGGCGGCUUUUCCCCGUCAACACGCCCACUCUGGUGAGCCCUCACCUGUUAAACAGGACCCCAGUGGCUAUCAUUGGUUGCAGGUGUGUGAGGCCAGUUUGCUGGACCAGCAGGGAGGUAAGUCGGGCUUCCUUGUGAUGGUCAUAAAGUGGUCUCGAGUGAUGGAUCUCCAGGUGUUUUGAAGGCAUGCAGAAGUUGGACCCCAAAGGCCUUCUUCCUUUGACCACAAAGCAGUGGACCUCCACUGCUCACAACAGGGUGGACCCUUGGCUGCUGAUUCUUACCUUCAUGCAGUUGCUCUGACCCUUCAAACAGGACCAGUUUGCCUUGAGAGCCCCUGCCAUCCUCAAACUCCCUCAGAGAGUGGAGCUCUUUGGCUCACCCUGACACUCAAACCCCUCUUAGAGUACAGCUGCUGCUCUGUUUGAGAUGGUCUGGGCAUCUGCUAAGGUAUGCUGAGACGCUUCCUCUGCCGCUGCAGUCGGUACAGGAUUUAAGAACGUUGGAUCACAGACUCUGCACUGAGCCACAGCUGAAGAAGAAAAUGAUCUCUUACUUCGACCUGUCUGGAGGUUUGUCCAACAAACACAGUGUGUGGAGGACAAUGACAAAGCUUUUUACUAACGCUUUGGCCAAAAACAUCAACUGGAGGGGAAGAAAUAACAAGCACAAAGUAGAGAACCUCACCAUCAAGAGAGUUAUCCUCAACGCAGUCAGGCAGAACUCGUUCUGUAAGGAUGCCGUGGACGAGGAGAUAGAGAGGUAUAUAAAGCGAUGGCUGCAGCUGGCAGGAAACCGAGAUGGAGGAAGAAAAAGAAGACAGGAAAAGGGAAAGGAAGCGACCAGCAUGGGGAACUACUGUGUAGAGUAGCACAAAAUGCAUCUGCAGCACAUGUUAUUUUGACUCUUACAUCUACAGCAUGAGAUGAAAAGAAAAAUACUAUCCCUCCAAUGAAUGCUCACAAGGCUGGAUUCAUCAUGUCGUGUUUACCUGUCAUGUGAUGCUACAUGUAAGUUAGGACCUGAUGGACACAACCAGAAACACAAACACAGUUACUUUUUAAAAUAUUAUUUAAAAAAUGCUUGCACUUUUACUGUUAUAGCCAUUGUAGUUUGUUCGAGUUCAUCAUGCAUUACACUACUAUGCAUUUUAAUCAUAUCUCGGCAUCAGUUUAUAAUGCCAUUUCCUAUAAUCAUAAUCAUAUUUAUUCAUUUUACUCUAAAGAUUAUUAAUUUCAUGCAGGAAGAUCUUGUAGUCAUCACUAUUAAAACAUUUAUUGUUUGGGACGUUUAAGGAUGCUGUCUGUUUAUGUCAUGUGUGAGCAUGUCAGUCCCAGCCACGAAACGCACU